rnacentral:lncRNA from 1 species
UGGGCUUGAGGUCUAACUCUCUACUCUUCUCCUCUCAUGAUGAAUGUAAUCAAGAAGUGAUAUCUAUGAAAGCAUCUUCAUUGCAGGGGAUUGUGACACCACCCAUUGGAUGAUUGAAGCCAAAUUCUUCCUCUGCAUGACUCAAUAAUUUCUGGAAUGAAGGAUUGUUCAGGUAAGAUAAUGGAACCACAAAUCGCUUCCUUUGGCCUUCUCCAACAUAAACUGCAAAAUGGCCUUUUGGCACCUCUGAUGCUUCUGUUGAGAUAGAUGAUUGACUUCUAGUAAAAGGAGAAUGCAAUUUGAGAAUCUGUUUGGCCUGAACAAUUGAGGGGAAACGAAUACCCAUGGCCUUCUAUGGAACGAAGCUAGGAAAAGGAUCUUAAAUGGAUCAAAUGAGUUUUAUGUAGAACAGGAAUUGAAACUUGGAACACUUGAAAUGGACAUGUAGGAGGACUCAGUUGUCUAUGUAUUUAUAGAGAAUGAGCUGCUUAUCUUCUGAUGAUUUCAUGGUUGGGAGAAAUGGUAGUAGGGUACUUGAAGGGCCUCCCUCAUCAAGAAUCACAUGGUCAGUAUGGUGCUUCUGCCCCACAUGUUCCACCUCAUUAUCGCUAUAGUAGCCAGGGCUGGCAUGGCUGUGAGUAAUUGUAGACAAGCGACUAGCAUUUAGGCUAGAAAAAAUGGGAAAGACAAAAUCAUGUGAUGAUGUUGGUACUGAUAAUGCAAUGUAAAAUCAUAAGAUUCUAAGACAUGGCUAUAAAGUUGUUUCAACUCAUCAUAGAAUUCAUAAUUUUCUGCAUUUCUAAAAAUGAUUACAGUAGGUAGAAGAUGUGAUGAUAUGAGUGUUGCUUGAACAUUAGUAGAUUUUCUGUAACUAUUUCAAUUUAAGAUUGCAUUAGGCCUAAAAAAACUUACAAUUUUCCAGCCUAUAUUUAAAAAAAAAAAAAACACUUAGCCAAAGUUGAACAGUCUUUAGGGAAGUAGAUUGUAUUUUUGGUUUGAACAGUUUUUUCAAGCUUCGUUUUAGGAAAUGGGUAUAUCACAAGGUCCUCUUAUAAUUCUCUACUGUUCCCAGAUGUCAAUGUUCUACGAUUUUGUAACUCUAGCUUGUACUUUAUAUGCUUUCAAUGUGCAGAGGUAUCAGCCUGAGAACUUAAAUCCCAUGAAUUGGCUUAGUAUAUUGUGGUUUUCAUCAUUCAUAUACCACAGCCAGAUAGUUCAAUAGUCACUUUGAGUGGAGGGCAUCAGUAAACAUUGCCUCAAUCAUCUUGCAUGAGGAUCGAUUUUCUGAACUUCAGAUUUCUCUUAAUACCUGCUAUAUUUCGUCAAAUUUUCCACUCUAAAGGCCUGCUGUUUAAUAUUGCAUUUAAAAGCCUAGAUGACAUAUUACUUAUAGCUUACAUCCUUACCAAGAAACUGGUGGUAAAACCCUCACUUAUGGUUAUUUAGGAUCAUUAUGCUUGAUCCCAGAGUUGUAUGAAUCUGUGUUGUUGCUUCCCAAGGACAAUAAUGGGAGUUUCUGUCUACAACAAUAGUACAAUAAGAAGAUUCUCUAAGGAACUUACUCUUAAGGAACCUAUAUUGUUGAAGUGUUUCUUCAAGUAGACCUGAUCCAAGACUUGAUCUUGUACCAUUAUCUCAAUAUAAGAUUGUUUUAGGCCUAUGGAAGGAUAUCAAUUCUGACCCUCAGAUGUGUAAAACCCACCUAAAUCAAUUUAGCCCAUAAUGGGUCCUAACAGUAGAUUGUUGGAAUGCAAGUUACAGUCCACACUUCAAGCCUUAACACAAUAUAUUGAUUCUUAAGAGGCUGCAAUGGUGGAGUGAGAUCGAUAAUUAGAUAAUUAGAACGAAGACAAGUCGAUACAAUUAAACCUUUGAGCAGUUGCAUUAUGGAUCAAACAUUGGAAUUAUGUAACAGGAUCAUGGUAUUCAACAGCUAUUUUUGUAUUUUUUUAAUUUCUUGGAUAUCUGCUGACUCUUUACCAUCUUAUCCACUUAUAUAUAUGAGCUCACAAAGGGUCUGACUGCCUCAAUGCUAAUUGGUAAAUCUGAUGACAAUGCUUAAAUAUCAGGAUUGCAGGAUUCAAGACACUCUGUAUGCAUCUCCUUAACAGUAUUAUUUCUCGUCCCUAGGUACAACUCAGUAAAGGAUCAAGAUACAGCUUGAGACAGAUCUUGGGGACUUGCAAUUUGAAAGAGAUUAACAGUAUUAUUUCUCGUCCCUACAUACAACUCAGUAAAGGAUCAAAGAUACAGCUUGAGACAGAUCUUGGGGACUUGCAAUUUGAAAGAGAUAGUCGAAAAGAAGUAUAUUGAUCUCACAAUGAAAUAUAAAUUUCUUAUCCCUCUGUCAAUUUAUGUACAUCAAAGGAAUGAUAUAAAUGAGUCAAAAUUGGAGAAAAUGGACUUAAGGUGCCGACUAUUUCCUAACUCUUUACUCUUCCUUCUCUCAUAAUGAAUGUAGCCGAGAAGUGAGAUCAAUGAAAGCAUCUUCAUUGCAGGGGAUUGUGACACCACCCAUUGGAUGAUUGAAGCCGAAUUCUUCCUCAGCAUGGCUCAAUAAUUUCUGGAAUGAAGGAUUGUUCAAGUAAGAUAUUGGAACCACAAAUCUCUUCUUUUCAGCUUCUCCAACAUAAACUGCAAAGUGGCCUUUUGGCACUUCUGCUGUUGUCGCUAAUAUAGAUGAUUGACUUCUAGUAAGAAGAGAUUGCAGUUUGAGGAUUUGCCUGGCAUGAACCAUAGAGGGCAAACGGAAACCCAUGGCCUUCUUUGAAAUAGAUCUAAUGAGCUUAAAGUAGAACAAGGAUUGAAACUUCAAAUACUUGAACUGGAUGUGGAGGGAAGCUUUGAGUUGAAGGGAUGAUUUGGUAGUCUUUGUAUUUAUAGACAAGGAAUCUGGUACUUCCCAAUGCUUUCAGAUCUAGUGUGUGGUGACUAUAGUAAAGAGGGAAUGGCAGUUGGGUGUAUACAGGACCAAGCUGAUGAACCACCACAUGAUCUUGCCUCUCUGUUUGUCUCCCAUCCACCCCCAGCCCAUGCUGCAUCAGCCCCACAUGUUCCUAUUGACUUCUUAUCAAUAGGGUAGCUUCUCUAUAUACGAGUAAUUGCAGAAAAACAACCACCUUGUGCUAGAAAAGGAAGAGAAACAAAUCCAAGUGAUGGUGUUGGGUACUGAUAAUGCAAUCUUAAGGUAAGAUUUUCGACAAAAGCUAUAAAAGCUGUCUGGACUUGUCAUGAAGUAAUAGUUUAUGCAUUUCUACAAAUGAUUGCAGUUGCCAGAAGAUAGGAUGACUGGACUUUUUCUUCAUACAACUGAGUAGGUUUAUUGUCUCUUACAUGAGAUUCUACCAGGCCUAUAAACCGAGAAUCAUUCCCAGCCUAAUGUUCAAACUUAACCAGCCGAGGAAUCCUCUUCCAGACAUCACACAUUAGGGAACAUAAGUCACAAUGUUCUAAUUGUUUUGGCAGAGAGGAUCAUAUUGUUCUUGUCAGCUUGAGGACUUAAAAACUAGGUUUAAGGCAGCGGGCACAAGUGCUGGUAAUCUGAACAGAAAAUGCUACCGGUAGACAUGUUGUUGGCUGAUUUUUAUCAUUCAUUCAGGCUAUCAUAAUAUCAGAGAGCAUUGAUACAUCAGAACCAGCUAUUUCAAUAAGCACGAUGAGUGGAGGGCAUCAGUGAAGAAGAACUGACUAUGAGCAUAGAAAUAUUGAGGAUCUUUAUGCUUGACCUAAGACCAUAGUGUCUAAAAGUGCAGAAAAUAUUCGCUGUCAAAGUUUCCCCUUACCAAGGACCAUGGUAAAGCAACAGAAACAAGAGUUUCUUCCAAAGAUCAUUCCCUUGGAACAUGGAAGUAUUUGUAACAUGCCUGAAUACAAGCUCCUAAAUUGAAGACGGGGCUUUAAUAUCAUGAUUUGCAGGAUACAAGGUGUCAUGUUCCUAUCUGUGAAUACUCGUUUUUCAUCCUUUCUUACAUUGUCCAAAAAGUUCAUACUACAAUUCUGAAAGGCCAAUCAGUGAUAGGGGUGAAUAUCAGUGUAGAUAAAAUCAUCAUACUGAAUAGUACAACUCGUUUCUUCACUAUGAAAGAGAUAAGAAACAAUAAGGUCUAUUGAUCUUUCAAUUGAAGACGAUUUUAAUCACUCUGCCCAUGUAUGUACAUUAGCAUGGUAUAGACUGUUGAUUUAUCCAUUAUCAGAACAACCAUCAACCUAGUAACUAGAGGAAAAGUCCCACUUAUAGUCAUGACACCUUAUCAAAAUUGAAGAUCAAAAUUGAUUUUUGGCUAUAGAACUAUUCAGUAUUUUUAUCCCUUAACAAGUCUUGGAAUAAGGCAUGAUUCAGGUAGGAUAUGGGAAAAGUACCCUUUUGGAACACCUGCUGUUGUUGCUGAUUGACAUUUUCUUGGAAGACACAGGGGUCAAAGACAAUCUCAAGUGGUGUGGUAUAGAGCGAGGACUAGGAGGUUUAACACUACAAGAGUAUAAAGAUUUUCAGCAUGCAAGAUUUUAUGUUUGCAUCUCAUCCACAGGCAGAUUGCAGUUAAGAAAUUCAAGAUACAGUUCCCGGACAAAUGUUGGUGAAUUUCAGUGUAUACAUAAUUGGCAUAUUGAACGGUAUAAACACUCAAGUUUUUGCAAUUUGAAAAAGGUAGGAGAAUAAUCUCAAUGAAAUAUGAAUUUUGUAUCCCUCUGCCAAUUUAUGUACAUCUAUGAAAUCAUUUACAUGGGUCAAAAUUAGAGACAGCAGACUUGAUGUGCCAACUAUUUUCUCAACACUUUGCCACUUCUUCUCUCAGGAUGAAUUUAGAUGAGAAGUUAGAUCAAUGAAAGAUUCUUCCUUGCAUGGGAUUGUGACUCCACCCAUUGGAUGAUUGAAGCCGAAUUCUUCCUCAGCAUGGCUCAACAAUUUCUGGAAUGAAGGAUUAUUCAAGUAAGAUAUUGGAACCACAAACCGCUUCUUUUCAGUUUCUCCAACAUAAACUGCAAAGUGGCCUUUUGGCACUUCAGCUGUUGUUGAUGAUACAGAUAGCUGACUUCUGGUAAGAAGAGAUUGCAGUUUGAGGAUCUGCUUGGCAUGAAGAAUUGAAGGCAUACAAACCCAUCUCCUUCUUUGGAAUGAAAUUAGGGAAAUGAUCUUGAAUGAAUCUAAUGAGCUUAAUGUAGAACAAGAAUGGAAACUUGGAACACUUGAACUGGAUGUGAGGGUUGGUUCAGUUGUUGUAUUUAUACAGAAAGAAUCCCUUAUUUUCCAAGCUUUCGUGAUUGGAGGAAAUGGUAGUUGGGGAAAUGAAGGCCCUUCCUCAUCAAGGGUCACAUGGUUUUGCCUCCCUUUCCCUAUCUCUCUGUAUCUUUCACUUCCACCGCCAGCCUAAUUGGGUGUAUCAGCCCCACAUGUGCCUUCAAAGUUGUUAUCCAUGUAAAAUCUUAUGGCCCUAUUUCUACAAAUAGUUGAAAACAGACCUCUCCCUUGUGCUGGAAAACGAAAAAGAAAUAAAUCCAUGAGAAGGUGAUAAGAUUAACAGACAGCCAUAAAAGCUUUAGAUAGAAGAUAGACUGAUCUAACGACACUGUUUUUCAACAAACUGGUGAGAGACAUGAGUAGGUCGUGUGUCCCUAUUCAAGUAUAAGAUAGAAGUUGCACUAGGCCUACACAAGGAUACUAACUCCCAGCAUAAUGUUCUAACAAGAUACUAACCAAACCCGAAAAUGCAGACACCUUGCACACAUAAUGUAGUAGCCAAUCUAGUGUGAAGAAACAUUAUGUUGGUUAAAGUAUAUUGCAAUGUGUGAUUCUAAGCUGCUCUUGAAAGCGAAAAUGUUAUAAUUUCAAAACUCUAGCUUGCAGUUUAAGUAUUUAUCAGCUUAAGGACUUUAAAAAAAUAAAGCUUUCAGCACUUGGAAAUUUGGAAAUCACAUGCAGCCAAGCGUUCAAACAGUAAAUGCUAUGAACUGACCUAGAGUUCAAAAUCAACGCCAGUUAAGGAAUGUCUGAAACACCAGAUAUAAGACGCUUUUUCAAUGAUCAAGGCAUACAAGUGCGAAAAUACUGAAGAUAGCAAUGUAGUAGGUAAAUCAAAAUCUGUGAUAGGUGACAAAGCUUUAAUAUUUAGAUUUCUAGGAUGUAAGAUUUUAUGAUCCUAUCAGUUAGUUCUCAUGUCUCAUCGCUCUGUAGAUUGAAGGGAAGAGAAUGUAUAUUGAUAGCAAACACUACAACUAUUCAACUUUAUGCCAUUCAAGUGAGUUGGACAAAUAAAGGUGUAUUGAUCUUCCAAUUGAAGAAAGAUCACACAGAAGUUAAAUGUAAUUGCCAGAGUUACAUGCUGAUAACCAAAUGAGAUAACAGUGCUUAUUAUUGAGUUUGGAGAGAUGUAAUAUAUGUAUUCCAAUCAUUUUUUUCUGAUUAUGCAUCCAGUAGAAAAAUUGAAUUAAAAGUUCUUAACUACCAUCCUGAAUUAUUAUUGAUCUGGGUGAUUAUCAAUGGACAUAUACUAUCAUGCUGGAAGCCACAAGUACUCAAAUCUAUGCAAUUGGAAAGAAGUAGGAGAAAGGAAAGUAUAUUGAUCUUAUAGCUCUGCCAAUUAUGUACAUCAAUGAAAUCAUUUACAAGGUUCAAAAUUGGAGAUAGUGGGAUUGAGGUCUAACUCUCUACUCUUCUUCCUCUUAUGAUGAAUGUAAUCAAGAAGUGAUAUCUAUGAAAGCACCUUCAUUGCAGAGGAUUGUGACACCACCCAUUGGAUGCUUGAAGCCAAAUUCUUCCUCAGCAUGACUCAAUCAUUUCAGGAAUGAAGGAUUGUUCCGGUAAGAUAUUGGAACUACAAAUCGCUUCCUUUGAGCUUCUCCGACAUAAACUACAAAGUGGCCUUUCGGCACCUCUGAUGCUUUUGUUGAUAUAGACAAUUGACUUCUAGUAAGAAGAGGAUCUACUUUGAGAAUCUGCUUGGCCUGAACAAUUGAGGGGAGAUGAAUACCCAUGGCCUUCAAUGGAAUGAAGCUAGGAAAAGGAUCUUGAAUAGAUCCAAUGAGUUUUAUGUAGAACAAGAAUUGAACCUUGGAACACUUGAACUGGACAUGAAGGGUGAUUCAGUUGUCUAUGUAUUUAUAGAGAAAGAAAUGCCUUUUUUCUGAUGCUUCCAUGGUUGGAGGAAAUGGUAGCAAGGUACUUGAAGGGCCU